UCUCCGUUGGUGAACCAGCGGAGGGGUCAUUACAGAGUUGCAAAACUCCCAAACCAUUGUGAACGUUACCUAUCCCGUUGCUUCGGCGGGCGGCCCAGGCCCCGCGCCCGGCGCCCCCCGGCCCCCCGUGGGCGCCCGCCGGAGGUAAACCAAACCCUUGAAUUGCAUGGCCUCUCUGAGUCUUCUGUACUGAAUAAGUCAAAACUUUCAACAACGGAUCUCUUGGUUCUG
rnacentral:misc_RNA from 1 species